UACAGAGGUCUCAAGCGUUGUUCGGAUUCAUUGGGCGUAAAGGGUGCGUAGGUGGCGCGGUAAGUCGGGUGUGAAAUCUCGGAGCUUAACUCCGAAAUUGCAUUCGAUACUGCCGUGCUCGAGGACUGGAGAGGAGACUGGAAUUCAUGGUGUAGCAGUGAAAUGCGUAGAGAUCAUGAGGAAGACCAGUGGCGAAGGCGGGUCUCGUGGGCCGUAACUGACGCUGAGGAGCGAAAGCGUGGGGAGCGAACAGG
rnacentral:rRNA from 1 species